ACCAGCUCGGGCAUGCGGUCCCAGUGGCCCUCCGCGCGGCAGCGCUCCAGCUCGCUCUCCAUCUUCAGGCCCUGCAGAGUCUCUGAUGAUGGCUUUCAGCUGAGAAUGAAAUCAGAGCUUAAAAUCUACCAUAAGAGGUUUUCUCUGUUCCGCAGGAGGUUUACUUUAAAGAGAGAGAGACACAGAGAGAGAGGGAACACAAGCAGGAGGAG